AUGAAGCAGCCGCCAGUCCCCGCACAGACGAGUGGAGCCCGUGCAGCAGGUUUAAAAGUGUUGCACAGACAGCCGUUGGGACAGGACAGCCUCUCACACUGGCCAGGCACCGGAUGGCUCCCACAGGGCUCCCACACCUGCCGGCAUGGACGCUCGCCUCACCCCCUCGGCCGGCUGAGAGCAGGGCCAGCGUCCUGGGUGUGGCGGACCUGUGCCAGCCCGAGUGCUGGGACGUCGGGCGUGGAGGGCAGACAGAUUCCAGUUUGUCUGGCACCGAGAAAAAAUAAACCCCUGCCCGGGGCCCCAUUCGGCGCCGCGGUGGAUAGCCUGUGGCAGGUGGCGGCAGAGAGUGGAGCCGGUGCGGAGGCCACGCAGCAGGCAGAGGCUGGCGGCAGCAGACUUCGCUUUCUGGGCAGCGUCUCUCCUAGGGCCCGCCAGGGUCUCAGGCUGGGGCGGAGCGCCACCAACCAUGGAGAACGAGGAAGACAUCAGCAGCUCCAUAGGCGCCCUGAGAAAAUCUUCCCUAAGCAUCAGGCUCGAUGCCCGAGUCCCCGAGCCCACGGCGGACCUGUGUCCACGAGGAUGACCAGACUCACACGUGGCGAUGGGCGCUGCCUACCGUCUCACUUGAGGCGUGCCCUCUCCCCCUCCCUGUCUCUGUGGUACUGGGAGCCCAGGGCCUUUGCACUGAGCUACAUCACUGCUUUUUUCCUUUUUGUUUAGGCACCAUCUCAUUGUUUCCCUGUGUUACUUAGGCUGAUCUCAAACUUGCGAUCCUCCUGCCUCAGCCUCCUGGAGUGUUGGGGUCAAACCCAGGGUCUUGCCCAUGGCAGAUGGUGUUGUGUCACUGAGCCACGCCCCCAGCUCUAAAUGCAAGCGCCCUUGACUUGGAAUUCAGAAAACAAGUACAGUGCGACAAUAUUUCUGUCCCUAACUUGGGGAGAGCCAAGCCUAACAAAGACAGUGCUUAUGCCGUUCCCUGGGAUGGAGCACAGGAAGGGUGGGGCCGGAAACCCGAAUGACAUCAAGCUCCACACAGCCACAGGUGUUUCUGGCGCACGAUCAGGGCUGAGAACCUCUGCUGGGUUCAGGGGCACAGUGACAGCAGGCAGCAGACAGCAGCGCUUCCGGGUCGAUGUUCAUGUUCCAGUCCUCUUGGUCAGAAAGAAGCUGCUGUGGCACCUGACCCACACUGGUCCCCAUCCUGCAGGGAAAGGCUGGUGUCCAGCAAAUGGAGACAGCGGGGGAAUGAACAGAGCAGAGAUAGGAGCCACCAGCGAAGCCCUGGCCAGAGGGUGACGUCACGGGCUCAGCCUUGUCCUGCCUCUUGCUGUUCUAACUGGAAUGUCACGGCUCUGGUGGUUUCUCUUGUUUUUUUUUUUCCAGUGCUAGGACUCAAACCCAGAGUGUUGUGCCUGGAGAACUUGUGUUUCCCACUGAGCUACUCCCCAGACCCUGAGAUCGUUCUUCAAAGCCAGCUUUAUUUGUUUUUGUUUUUGUUUUUGUUUUUGUUUUUGUUUUUCUUCUGGUACCAGGAAUCGAACUCACCACCUUGCACUUGCCAGGCAGGCGCUGUGCCACUGAGCUAAAUCCCCAGCCCCAAAGCCAGCUUUAGCCAGGCGUGGUGACACACACCUAUCAUUCCAGCACCUGGGAGGCUGAGGCAGGAGGACUGCCAUGAGUUCCACACCACCCUGGGCUACAUCAUGAGACCCUGUCUCAGCCCCCACCCCACAAAAAGAUUGCCCUUUGUUUUGGCCCAGCAAGGUGCUUGCAUGACCUGGCCUUCCCUUGGCACUGUGUGGUCCUGGGGGCGUCCGGUCCCUUCCCAAGCCUUAGUUUCCACAGCAGUUACAGCAGAUCGGUAGCCCCCGCCUCUGACCUCAGCGGCGGCAGCAGAGCGCUUGCCUAGCUGUGCCAGGCCUGGUUCCAUCACCCCAGAGCUGCAGAACAAAACAAAAUGAGACAGCAGCAGCGAGAACAAAAGCACACCUGCCUCGUGGUGGUGAGGAAACGAGCGGCUGGGUUCUGCCAGAGCCAGAGGGGCCUUCCCGGCCUCUCACUGCUCCGGGCCCCGGGACCGCUGCCCUGGGCUGCAGCAAGGGCCACAUCAACCCUUAGGAUGUUCUUUCUGGUUCUUGGUGUCCUGGACAAAGAAUUGGACAAAGCACACACACAAAAAAAGGCAGCGAAAGUAUACCUUUAAAAAAUUUUUAAAUGUUUGCAACAAGGUCUCACUAUGUAGUCCAGACUAGCCUUGAGCUCCCGGGUAUCCUCCUGCCUCAGCCUCCCAACUGCUGGGGUUACGCCCACCAAAAGUAUACUUUUAUUAAAGGUGGAAAAGAGGUGCACUCUACAGGGCAAGAGCAGGCCUGUGAAAGGGCUCACAAUGGCCCAAGGGUAGGGGAAAGUAGCCCUUUGUACCCAGAGUUCCUGGGCUGACCUCCUUGACGUGCACACAGGCCUGAGCACACUCAUCCUGUCACUCACUCACUUGGCUGCAGCCCUGUGUAAGCUGUCCUCUGGGAACACUUGCUUUGCUGUGGGGUGUGAAUGAAGGCUCAGAAACGUCUCUGGAUUGGUUGUGCCCACACGCACAUGAAGGAUUGAAAAUUGUGACUUCUGAUUGGUCCUAUGGAGUGCUCCGGUUUCAAAUGAGAGAUUGAGAUUUAUCUGGCUACUGUACUCAGCGACCUGGAGUGACUGUAGGGCUCAUAUCCUGUGCCCGUCCUCUCUUCUUACCCAGCAUCUCCCCCAUCCUGUUGGCCACAGGUUUUAUUUUUGUUUGUUUGUUUUUGUCUUUUUGAGACAGGGUC
ensembl:lincRNA